rnacentral:rRNA from 1 species
ACUGAGAUCCGAAGGUCGAAGGGAGAAAUUCAUUCGCGUCUCGUCUAGUCGUGGACGGUGGGACCGGUGCGACGGGACACGUCCGCGUGUUCCGCGUCCUCCUAUCGUAAUCGAACGGCGACGAACGCGUGCACUUUUCUCCUGGUAGGACGUCGCGAUCCGUUGAGCGUCGGUCUACGGUACGAGAGGGAGCCCGUCGGUUACGGAACGUUAAAAAUUUCUAAUCGGACGGACCUCACGAUACCCGGCCGACUCGCUCGACGGUAUACCGUACGGUUAGGGGCCGCUCGCUUUUCACGAAGUCGGUAGCGUCCGAACCGCGGCAAGCGCGCCCGACGCGUCGACGACCGGACCCGGUGCCGGUUUCGACCUCGGACGACUGUUGGCCGCGGACAGUUCUCGGACAGACCUCGACCGAUCGGCGACGCUAUAGCUUUGGAUAAUUUCAGGACCCGUCUUGAAACACGGACCAAGGAGUCUAGCAUGUGCGCGAGUCAUUGGGAUUCGAACUAAACCUAAAGGCGCAAUGAAAGUGAAGGUCUCUCUCCCGUUAUUUUUUUAACGGGACGCGGAGACCGAGGGAAGACGGACGGACCGGCUCGGCCGGAAACGACGAGCCGGUAUCGCGCGUCUCGCAUUCCCGGGGCGUCUCGUUCUCAUCGCGAGAAGAGGCGCACCGAGAGCGUACACGCUGGGACCCGAAAGAUGGUGAACUAUGCCUGGUCAGGACGAAGUCAGGGGAAACCCUGAUGGAGGUCCGUAGCGAUUCUGACGUGCAAAUCGAUCGUCGGAACUGGGUAUAGGGGCGAAAGACUAAUCGAACCAUC